rnacentral:rRNA from 1 species
GAUGAACGCUGGCGGCGUGCCUAAUACAUGCAAGUCGAGCGAACAGACUAGGAGCUUGCUCCUCUGACGUUAGCGUCUUACGGGUGAGUAACACGUGGAUAACCUACCUAUAAGACUGGGAUAACUUCGGGAAACCGGAGCUAAUACCGGAUAAUAUAUUGAACCGCAUGGUUCAAUAGUGAAAGACGGUUUUGCUGUCACUUAUAGUUGGAUCCGCUCCGCAUUAGCUAGUUGGUAAGGUAACGGCUUACCAAGGCAACGAUGCGUAGCCGACCUGAGAGGGUGAUCGGCCACACUGGAACUGAGACACGGUCCAGACUCCUACGGGAGGCAGCAGUAGGGAAUCUUCCGCAAUGGGCGAAAGCGUGACGGAGCAAAGCCGCGUGAGUGAUGAAGGUCUUCGGAUCGUAAAACUCUGUUAUUAGGGAAGAACAAAUGUGUAAGUAACUAUGCACGUCUUGACGGUACCUAAUCAGAAAGCCACGGCUAAAUACGUG